rnacentral:sRNA from 1 species
AAGUUGAGGAGUGUGAGUGGGGCUACUGUGGUGGGAUCUCCAGGGCAGCCCCAUCCAGCAUUUUCAUUCAGGGUCCCGGAGCGGGUGUGGGCAGUGGUUUGGUGGUCUGCUGCCAGCCAGGGCAGGGGAGCCCUUAUGAAGCUCCUGAGGUGGAACCAGGCAUCUGAGCCCAGGCUUGUUGCUUCUUAGAGUUGACCAGGACAGCGCUUUGCACAACGAUCUCCAGAUCCUCAAAGAGAAAGAAGGAGCCGACUUCAUUCUACUUAACUUUUCCUUUAAAGUAAGACUUUUCUUUUCCAGUCUCUCCCUCUGGCCUAGGCUGCCCAGUCUGCCUGACAGUCCUGUGGAGGAUGCUGGCCUCCCUCCCCUGAUUGUCGUCUCUCUCUCUCUCUCUCAGGAUAACUUUCCCUUUGACCCACCAUUUGUCAGGGUUGUGUCUCCAGUCCUCUCUGGAGGGUAUGUUCUGGGCGGAGGGGCCAUCUGCAUGGAACUUCUCACCAAACAGGUGAGCCUGUCUCUCCUCCU